UCCCCAGUGGCUCAGACAGUAAAGCAUCUGCCUGCAAUGCAGGAGACCUGGGUUCAGUCCCUGGGUAGGGAA
rnacentral:tRNA from 1 species